rnacentral:tRNA from 2 species
GCCGCGGUGGCGGAAUUGGCAGACGCAAUUGACUCAAAAUCAAUCGAGCGCAAGCUCAUGGGAGUUCGACUCUCCCCCGCGGCA